rnacentral:rRNA from 1 species
ACUCCUACGGGAGGCAGCAGUGGGGAAUAUUGCACAAUGGGCGCAAGCCUGAUGCAGCCAUGCCGCGUGUGUGAAGAAGGCCUCGGUUGUAAAGCACUUUCAGUCGUGAGGAAGGUAGUGUAGUUAAUAGCUGCAUUAUUUGUACGUUAGCGACAGAAGAAGCACCGGCUAACUCCGUGCCAGCAGCCGCGGUAAUACGGAGGGGUGCGAGCGUUAAUCGGAAUUACUGGGCGUAAAGCGCAUGCAGGUGGUUUGUUAAGUCAGAUGUGAAAGCCCGGGGCGUCAACCUCGGAAUUGCAUUUGAAACUGGCAGACUAGAGUACUGUAGAGGGGGUAGAAUUUCAGGUGUAGCGGUGAAAUGCGUAGAGAUCUGAAGGAAUACCGGUGGCGAAGGCGGCCCCCUGGACAGAUACUGACACUCAGAUGCGAAAGCGUGGGGAGCAAACAGGAUUAGAUACCCUGGUAGGAUAGCG